rnacentral:rRNA from 1 species
GUAGGUGGCAAGCGUUGUCCGGAAUUAUUGGGCGUAAAGCGCGCGCAGGCGGUUCUUUAAGUCUGAUGUGAAAGCCCACGGGCUCAACCGUGGAGGGUCAUUGGAAACUGGAGAACUUGAGUACAGAAGAGGAAAGCGGAAUUCCACGUGUAGCGGUGAAAUGCGUAGAGAUGUGGAGGAACACCAGUGGCGAAGGCGGCUUUCUGGUCUGUAACUGACGCUGAGGCGCGAAAGCGUGGGGAGCAAACAGGAUUAGAUACCCUGGUAGUCCACGCCGUAAACGAUGAGUGCUAAGUGUUAGGGGUUUCCGCCCCUUAGUGCUGCAGCUAACGCAUUAAGCACUCCGCCUGGGGAGUACGGCCGCAAAGGCUG